rnacentral:rRNA from 1 species
CCUACGGGUGGCUGCAGUGGGGGAUCUUGCACAAUGGGGGCAACCCUGAUGCAGCGACGCCGCGUGAGUGAAGAAGUAUUUCGGUAUGUAAAGCUCUAUCUGCAGGGGAGAAAAUGACAUUACCUGACCAAGAUGCCCCGGAUAACUACGGUCCAGCCGCCGCGGUAAUACGUAGGGGGCAGGCGUUAUCCGGAUGUCCUGGGUGUUAUGGGAGCGUAGACGGUUAUGUAAGUCUGGAGUGAAAGCCAAGGGCCCAACCCCGGGACUGCUUUGGAAACUGGGUAACUGGAGUGCAGGAGGGGCAGGCGGAAUGCCUGGUGUAGCGGUGAAAUGCGUAGAUAUCAGGAGGAACACCGGCGGCGAAGGCGGCCUACUGGACUGUAACUGACGUUGAGGCUCGAAAGCGUGGGGAGCAAACAGGAUUAGAUACCCUAGUAGUC